rfam:Gossypium arboreum cultivar AKA8401 contig_104639_1, whole genome shotgun sequence.
AAUCCAUGGUGAGGGCACCUUCUCAAAAGAUCCUUGUAUCUCUCCCAUGCAUCAUAGACUGUUUCGAGGUCCAUUUGCACAAAAGAAGAGAUGUCAUUCCUCAACUU